UACGUAGGGCGCAAGCGUUGUCCGGAAUUAUUGGGCGUAAAGAGCUCGUAGGCGGUUUGUCGCGUCUGCUGUGAAAACCUCAGGCUCAACCUGGGGCUUGCAGUGGGUACGGGCAGACUAGAGUGCGGUAGGGGUGACUGGAAUUCCUGGUGUAGCGGUGGAAUGCGCAGAUAUCAGGAGGAACACCGAUGGCGAAGGCAGGUCACUGGGCCGCAACUGACGCUGAGGAGCGAAAGCGUGGGGAGCGAACAGG
rnacentral:rRNA from 1 species